AUCGUCGUUAUUAAAAAUUGAAAUUUUCAUGCCUCCUCGAAAAGAAUUUUCCAACUCCCCUUCAUCGCACAAUUUUCAAUUCUGCCAAAUAUUAAAGUGGCGCCAAAUUCAAAAUACAUGCUCCUCUUGCACGCGCGCGCAGCACACUUUAUUAGUGGUUCUCAUUCUUUUCUUUUGCGAUAUUAUCGAAUUGUUUUCUAGUGUUCUUUCGUUCUUUGAAUAUCAAUAUGAAAGGAAUUAUGUUAUUAAUCAUUUUAAGAAUAGUAUAAGUGUUAUUCAUCGAUGUUAUUUGUAUUUUAAUUUUAUUAAUUCAUAUUUUCUAGACAAAUAUUGAGAUGUUGAAUGAUUUGAAAGUUAAGUAAUAUAUAUCAAUUUUUUAUCUCUCUAUGAAUUGAAAAAAAAAUUGUUUGACCGUUAAAGAAUUCAUGAUUUUAUCGUCAUAGUUUUAAGUUAUUGAAAUGGCCAUAUUGGAACUCACGCAUAUAUUCGGUAAAUCGCAGGUGAAGAGCUUCGUCAUUUGUCGGCAUCCUCUUUGCAAAAUAUCGCAGGUUCUAAAUACCGAACAAUAUUUAUGCAUAGUUUGUUGCAUCGAUUGUCUAAGCUCGACAACAGGGAUGCAACCUUUCGCAUAACGAGUCGCAUCGAAUCGACAAAUUGAUUGUUCACCUAUAUCCUUGAUUCAAUUGACGAAUAUCAUCGUGCCGUUCACCAGGUCGAGUAAGGCAAUCAAUUUGAUCGGCAAUUGCUUUACCAAAAACGAUGAUUUCUAAUAAACUGUUAGCUCCAAGUCUAUUGGCACCAUGAACAGAUGCACAUGCAGUUUCACCAGCUGCCCAUAAUCCAUCUAUCACACUAUCUUCUUCAUUUUCACGUGUUAAUACCUGUUUUAUAUAAGUCAUCGGCGUCAUAGAUAUUCAUUCAUACGUUUUCAAGUUUAUCUAAAGUUCAUUAAAUCGUUUAAACAAAUUCUAACUUGAGCUCGCCAAUUCGUAGGUAUGCCACCCAUAUUGUAAUGGACCGUUGGUAUGACCGGUAUGGAAUCUUUCGUAACGUCAACGCCAGAAAAUACCCACGCCAAAUGUGAGAUACCUGGUAACUUGUUUUGUAUCGUUUCAAUCGGUAAAUGAUUUAGUUGAAGAUACACGUGAUCCUUCUUUGGACCUACACCUCUAUAUACAAAGAAUAUCAUAAAUGAAGAAAGAAGGAAAAUUUGCGUUUCAUGUGGAAAAAGAUGAGAAUCACCUUCCUUCGAUUAUUUCUAUGGUAAUAGCUCUGGAAACGACGUCACGUGAUGCUAAAUCCUUAGCUAUUGGGGCGUAUCUUUCCAUGAAAAAUUCACCUUGAGAGUUUACCAAUUUACCACCUUCGCCUCUACUACCUUCCGUUAUUAAUAUGCCGGUUCCAUACAUUCCUAUGGUACAAAAAACAUCGAAAUUAUUUAAUGUCUGAUUUAUUUUGAGAUGAUUAUUAUAACUUUUAGCAAUAAUAUAUACCUGUAGGAUGAAACUGUAUAAAUUCCAUAUCCUGUAAUGGCAAUCCUGCUCUAGAGAUCAUAGCCAUGCCAUCACCAGUGCAAGAAUGUGCACCUGUGCACGAUAAAUAACAUCUACCAGCACCACCUGAAGCUAUAACCUUAGGUAUGGAAAAUGUAAAUUUAUAUUAAUAAUAUUCAUUGGUAUAAAGAAAAGGAAAAAGAAAGAAGAAGAAGAUGAGUCCAAUGAAUGAGACAAGUACCGUAUGAUGAGCUCUAAAACGAUGAAGUAUACCAGUUUCCAGUUCCCAAGCAAGAAUUCCUUUGCAACACCGACCGUGCAUUAAAAGAUCAAGUGCAAAGUAUUCAACAUAAUAAUGAACGUCGUAUCGAAGGCUUUGUCCGUAUAAAGUAUGGAGAACGGCGUGUCCAGUUCUAUCUGCUACAGCACAAGUUCGAUGUGCUUGACCACCUUUUCCAAAUUUUAACGAUUGCCCACCGAAUGCACGUUGAUAAAUUUUCCCAGACUCGUUACGACUAAAUGGACAUCCUAAAGAAACCUCAUAAAUUGCACGAGGUGCUUCUCUGGUAAGAAAGUGUAUAGCAUCCUGAUCUCCUAGCCAAUCGGAUCCUUUGACGGUGUCGUACAUAUGAUAAAGCCAGCUGUCCUCGUGUUCGCUCGCUAUCGCAGCAUUUAUAC